rnacentral:lncRNA from 1 species
UCCUGGGGCUCUGCCAGCCCCAGUUUGGAAGGUCUUAGACUGAGACUGAAGUUUCUUGCACCCCAACCCCAGCUGAACACAGAGCUCAAGGAGAACCUGAAGGACACCAUGGCCAAGCGCUACCACCAGCCGGGCCACGAGGCCGUGACCAGCGCUGUGGACCAGCUGCAGCAGGAGGUGGGUGGGUGGUGCUGGGAGGGCGCAUGCAUCCCCAGGGCCUCCCUGGACCUCUGCAGGAGCCUCUGGUCCCAGGUCUCACCCCAGCCUUGUUCUUGAUGCAGUUCCACUGCUGUGGCAGCAACAACUCACAGGACUGGCGGGACAGUGAGUGGAUCCGCUCAGGGGAGGCCGGUGGCCGCGUGGUCCCCGACAGCUGCUGCAAGACGGUGGUGGCCAGUUGUGGGCAGCGGGACCAUGCCUCCAACAUCUACAAGGUGGAGGGCGGCUGCAUCACCAAGUUGGAGACCUUCAUCCAGGAGCACCUCAGGGUCAUUGGGGCUGUGGGGACCGGCAUUGCCUGUGUGCAGGUCUUUGGCAUGAUCUUCACAUGCUGCCUGUACAGGAGCCUCAAGCUGGAGCACUACUGACCCUGCCCUGGGCUUGGCCGUGGCUCUGUGCCUUGCUGCUGCUGCACCCAACUACUGAGCUGAGACUACUAAGUGCCAGGGGCUGGGCUCCCUGAUGACACCCACCCUGUGCCAUCACCAUAACCUCUGGGGACCCCAAUCCCAGAGGCAGCUUCAAGUGCCUUUCGCUGCACACCAAAGCCCAGCAGGGAAGUGAGGGGGGCUGGUGGGAUGACGGUAUCAGGGGUGUUUUGUGGGGCUCCCUGAACACACUGCCUGGUGGUCACAUGCAGGCUGGAAGGGGCCUUGCUGAGUGGGGCAAGGCCGAGUGUUCCCAGCAGGGGAGAAGCCCUUCACACCCCAGGCCCUUCAGGGACUGGGGCUUUGCCUUGCAGCCACAUGGCCCCAUCGCAGUCGGAGAAGCCGAGUAAGCUCUGACCCUUGGGCCUGGGCCUCUGCCCCUCCCCACCCAGGCCUCGUCUCCGUCAGAGCCCCUGCUGUCUUCCCCACCGCGGUCACUGUGCACUGCCCCGUCCAUGUGCCUGUGCGGGGCAGGGGCCUCCUGGUUUUGUUCACUGCUGUACCCAGAUGCCUACAACCAUCCCUGCCACAUACAGGUGCUCAAUAAACACUUGUGGGGCAGAUGGGCGAGCUCGCUGUGCUGGUGACAGACAGAUGGUGGUCUGUUCUCAGGGCCCCUCACGUCCAGCAGGGUAGACGGACCCCCCCUCUCAGCGUCAGGACAAAGAAGGGCAGAGCCAAGACACAGCCCCAUGGGGCUCCAGGGAAGGGGAGGUCUGAUGCCAGGGACAGCCAAGCACAGGUCUCACAGCAGAAAAAACUGAGCAUGUUCCUAAAUGGUGAGAUGGUGGUGUGUUCAGAGCCCCUGGGGAGAGGAAAAUGGGUUUCCAAAGACCCUUCUCGUCAUGGUGGGGAGCAGACAUGAAAACGGUGCAGACUGGGGACUGUGCCCAGGUAAGAGAGGCGUCAGGCAGAUGGGUGGGGAAGUAGAGUGAGGGGUUUACAUGGUGAAGCCUACAGGCCCUGCUGGGGCAAGGGUGGGAGGUACCAGAGCCUGGUGUCUGGCAGAGGUACCCUGGAGACGGGAGCCAGGGCUCAGUCACUAUACCCCUUGCUGCCCAGGCUCCUGUCCCUAAGGCUCAGAACUGAAGACCCUCAGGCAGACCCAUCCUCCCCACCAGAGGACACCACGCCAGGUAUCUCAGCAGCAGGGCCAUCUGACCUGGGGUGCUUGCUGGUAGCACUGCCUGGACAGCAGGGCCGCCUCCCAAGCCAGCCAGGGGCGUCUUAAGGCCUGCCCUCCCUGCUAGGCUCGGGUGGGACCCUCAGGGACAGGCAGCAGUGGGCAGGGGCCAGCAGGUGCUGGCAGCCGUGACCAUAGCAAAGACUGGGCCCCAGAAGAUCUGGUUCUUUUCUUUUUUUUUGGAGAUGGAUCACUGUCACCCAGGCUGGAGUGCAGUGGUGCAAUCUCAGCUCACUGCAAGCUCCCCCCUCCCAGGUUCAUGCCAGUCUCCUGCCUCAGCCUCCCGAGUAGCUGGGACUACAGGCGCCCGGCACCUCG